UUCCGGGAUUCAGCACAGUGAUUGCUGGCUGGUUUUUUCCUUGCUUGAUACCCAUCCUGAGCUGUUUAUGUCCUUGUGCCUCUCUUCACAAACCUGCUGUUCAAGGAAAAGUUAGUGGAAGCCGUUAUCCAUGUCAACAUUGAACCAGAAGAGCAUGAUUUGCAAGAGGAACUGCUACACAUUUUACACUUAUUUACUCCAACCUUUCCUGCUAAUUCCAGGUUUAUUGAACACGAUAACACAUGUAGAGCAGAGCACUGUGCACCAGUUACUAAUGCCAGAAGAGGACUCUCACUAUAUGGAGGGUAAUGAAGAUCAUCACAAUACCAGCCACCAGGAAUAGAAGUCCAGAUACUUCUGCCCACUGUCUGUUAGUAUUGGAGUCACCAAAAAAUCACAAGUCAAGUACUUGGUGGAAAAUUACUUUACUCACAAAAAGAUACAGAGCAAGAUCAGUUUCGGUAGUGGACAUCUGUCACCAUGGUCCCUCCUAAAAGACAAUGCAGGGCAACUGGCCUAUGAGCACCCAACUAGUGCUACACUAGAAGGACUCUGACACCUCCUCCAUGAAGUAUGAAAUAUCAAAAACUAGGGGCAUGCCUGAGCGCCAUUGAAACACAGUGCUUAAGCAGAACAAAGACGUAAAGACGUACUCAUUGAGUCUGAAACAGAGAAAGAUACUUUCUCACUAAAUCUAAACCUGGGAUAGGUACUGCCUUUCCCAAUACAACAGAUUUUAGUAAAUCCUCCAAAUUUGUUUGACUUUGUUCCAUUUGUUUUGGUAAUUAUCUAUGCUGUCCCUUUCUAUAUACAAUUAGCAUAAGCUAGUCAAUACAACAAAAAUAUAUACAGCAAAUUAGAUUGGGUUUGCAUCAUUCUAUAGAUUAGGAGAAUAUUGAACAUUAUAAAAAUAGUGAAUAUUCCAAUUCAUGAACUCAAUAUAUUUAUUCAUUUACUAAGACAUUCUUGAUUUCUUAUUCAGCAUUCGUAGGUAACAUGCAAAUCCUGUAUCUAUUUUUGUUAACUUUGUACCUACAUAUUUUGUUUUUCCUGAUGCUAUUGUAACUAUUACUUUAAAAUUUAAUUUCCAUGUGCCUAUAGUCCCAACUUCUUGGGAGACUGAGGCAAAAGACUCAGUUGGGCCCAGGAGGGAGUUUGAGUCUAGUCUGGGCAACACAGAACCCCACCUCUAAAAAUUAAAUUAAGUUAAAAUUAAAAAAAAAAAUUUCCAUUUGUUCAUGCCCAUUAUGCAAAUAUGUAAUUGACCUAGUACCCUGGAACAUUCCAAAAUUAUUUUACUAAAUCUGGAGAUUUUGUUAUAGAUCUA
rnacentral:lncRNA from 10 species